CAUUUUAUCUCUUUAUUUUACCAGGAAUAAUAUCCAGCAGGCUGAGGUGUUACCAACGGGCAAGUUAAAUUUGAAACCCAUCCCUAAAUGUGCAUCUGAGAGCAGUGAGGGUCCAACCAUAAAACAUUUGGUCUGGACAUGCCAGCAGAAAACCCAGAGAGCCAAUAAUACCGAGAUCUGGAGCUCUGCUCCGGGCUCCUGGCCCUCUCCUCCAGCUCUCAGGACCACGAGGAUGCGGAGCCUUAAUGCACAUCUAUUAGUUGGAGUGCUCUCCCCUUAGGUAAGCACUUUGGGAAGCUUGCCUAGCCCUUUGCAGCAAUACUGCAUUAGCCCUUCGCUCUAAAUCCAGUUAGGGGGAGGAGAAGGAAUGGGAAGGGAUGGGGAAGAGGGGGAGGAAGUUAAACUGAUUUGGGAUGAUGAACUACAUGAGGUGUAUCAACAGGAAAAAGAGUAAAAGCAGUCAAAUUUCAGAUGUUUGCAGGAUGAGGGCCUGAAAGGGGUCUGGGAACAAGGUGCAGGAGAAAAGGGCUCCUGAGCUCUCCCUGAAGGAGAAGGGGGCAGGAUGCAGCCAUUCCCCCAGCCUUUGGGGUGGGAGGCAGGCAGCUCCGGGAGCUGGGUGGGCAUCACCUGGGGAGCCAGGGGACCACUGGCACCCAGGCAUCACCCCCAGGGCAUUGUCACUGCCUUCCCUACUUUUGGGAGCCAUCCCAAAGCACCCCAGCAGCAGCAAUAGGGGCAGGAGAGCUGGGUCAGAGCCAGCCCCCAGCCCACCCCCACCACAUCUCCCCUCCAAACCUCUCCUCGCUCGCUGCGCCGGGCAGAGCCUGCUUCACCAAGGCAGCCCUCCUGGAGCCCAGAGUCGUCUCGCCUGGAUUUGCCCCCAGCCGCCAGGAAGCCUUGGACAGAUCAUUCAUCGUGCAGUCCAAUGCAGCUGAGACGAGGCCAGGAGCUGGCCACGUGAGCCGCAGCAUGUCCCUGCCCCACUCCGCGUGUGUGAUGCAGAUGGGGAAGCCAUGGACUGUCUGUCUGUCCGGCCAGGUCUCAGAUCUCCAGGAUGGUAAAAGAGGGAUGAAGGCAUGUGUGCGGGGCCGAGGAUCCACCCAGAGCCUGGCCUCCCCCCUCCGUCAGAGAUCGCACCCUGGAAGCCAUGCUCAGCCAUCAUUAGUAUGCAAAGACUGUGAUCUGAGAGAGGGGGAGAGAGAAGGAGAGAGGCAGGGAGGGGGGAAGAGAGGGAAGGGAGAGAGAGAAAAAGCCAGUUGUUUUAUUCAUGGCUGGUGAUAUUAUAGACUGAGUGAAAAUCACAUUAUCGUAAUGGGAAAGUUAGAGUUGCCGUGAUGAUGCCCUGAAGCUUGUGUGCUGAUUGGGGUGUGAUUGCUAUCUGUAUUUAUAUGUAGAAAGCAAAGUUCACUGCCAGUUCAAGAUGGUGGAGCCUGCUUCUUCAUGCUACAUAAUUCUUCAGUAGGGAGAAGCUGGGAGCAGCCGGGGCAGCCGAGCCCGGAGCGCGGGCAGCAGCGGGG
rnacentral:lncRNA from 1 species